rnacentral:rRNA from 1 species
UACGAAGGGGGCUAGCGUUGUUCGGAUUUACUGGGCGUAAAGCGCACGUAGGCGGAUCUUUAAGUCAGAGGUGAAAUCCCAAGGCUCAACCUUGGAACUGCCUUUGAUACUGGGGAUCUUGAGUCCGGGAGAGGUGAGUGGAACUGCGAGUGUAGAGGUGAAAUCCGUUGAUAUUAUUGGGAACACCAAAAGCGAAGGCAGCUUACUGGAACAUUACUGACACUGAAACAUGAAAGCGUGGGUAGCGAAUGGG